AAGAAUGGGUCGGUCGCCUCGUCAGCUCUAGAUGGAUGACCAAGAAUCGCCAAAACGGUACUGCGGCCUUGAUGCUGGCCUCUGCGGCCAAUAAGGUCUCUUCAAGUUCUCGUCGGUCCGUCCGUCUGGUUUUCGGGUCUUUUUUUUUGUUGUGCUACCUUUUUAGCACCGUAGGACCAACAUCGGCUGAUUGGAGGACGAAAAUGUCCUUUAACUGCGUUGCUACCUAACCUAACCAUGAGCUCAUGUUUGGUUAUAGCCUGUAACCCAAACAACGGCAGUCCAAGGGUCGAACGUCAGUAAAGCAGUUUGGUUU